CCUACGGGUGGCAGCAGUGAGGAAUAUUGGUCAAUGGACGGAAGUCUGAACCAGCCAUGCCGCGUGCAGGAAGACGGCGCUAUGAGUUGUAAACUGCUUUUGUACAAGGGGAAACCGGAAUACGUGGAUGCAGCUGAAAGAACGGUACGAAUAAGGAUCGGCUAACUCCGUGCCAGCAGCCGCGGUAAUACGGAGGAUCCAAGCGUUAUCCGGAGUUAUUGGGUUUAAAGGGUGCGUAGGCGGAUUGAUAAGUGAGAGGUGAAAGGUCCGAGCUUAACUCGGGAUCUGCCUCUAAUACUGUUGUUCUUGAGUGUAGGUGCGGUAGGCGGCAUGUAUGGUGUAGCGG
rnacentral:rRNA from 1 species